rnacentral:rRNA from 1 species
UACGAAGGGGGGCUAGCGUUGUUCGGAAUUACUGGGCGUAAAGCGCACGUAGGCGGAUUUUUAAGUCAGGGGUGAAAUCCCGAGGCUCAACCUCGGAACUGCCUUUGAUACUGGAGAUCUUGAGUUCGGAAGAGGUUGGUGGAACAGCUAGUGUAGAGGUGAAAUUCGUAGAUAUUAGCUAGAACACCAGUGGCGAAGGCGGCCAACUGGUCCGAUACUGACGCUGAGGUGCGAAAGCGUGGGGAGCAAACAGG